ACGGUUAAACCUUGUAUUUUAAAAACAAUCUGCACCGGUUUAAUUUAAAAAUAAAGUCCAACAUGACAUCCGUUUGUAGCGGUAGGUGCAAAGUCCAACGAAAAAGGACUCUAGAAAGUGAAAUUUAAGAAUUAUAAGAAGCUUCCAGGAAUCAAGGGUCAAGAUCAUGUGACUAGACCCAUAAGAGAAGGAAAUAACCCAAACUUUUUUGUGUUUUAUUUUUAUUUUUUUGUACUAUACAUUUUAUUUUGUUUGACUCUCUUUCUUUCUAGCUAAUACCUCUCUUCACAGUUUUCCCCUCUCCCAAUCAUCCAAAAACCACAGUCACUACUACUUACUUUGUGUUGUUUCCACACACUGUGCUUCGGGUCAAGGAGACAUCUUUUUUUUUUUUUUUUUUGUGCACUUUCAUGGUGCCCUUGUUGUGGGUGUUCUGAAAGCUUCUUUGUGUGAGUGACACAUCUACAGCAACUGCAAUGAUAGGUUUCAGAGAAAGAGAAAGGACAAGAGAAAGAAGGCUUUCUUGGGCCAGAGUUGCAAUUUUCUUCUUGUGGGUCAUCCUAGUUUUUUCUCUAAUAAGCUUGUUUUUCUCCAUCAACAACGAACGCAGAACCAGAACCAGAACCAGCCAUUCAAUUCCUCCAAAACGACGUAGUUUCAGCAGGGCCUUGUUUCACACACCCUCAAGAAGAACCACCACCACCACCACUAAAAAAACCAAGCUUGUUGUGAGCUCAAAAAAUGGUGAUGAUCGUGAUCCACACCACACUACUAAUCUUUAUGGGGAUGAGAAGAGAAUAAUUCACACAGGUCCAAACCCUCUUCACAACAAGUAGUAGUGUGGCAAAUUCCAUCCAUGGUAGGAGGUUAAUUUAUUUUUGUAUGCUAGCUAGUAGUGUUUAAUGCAUGCUAGUUAUUAAGUUCUAGUGCAUAUCAAUGUAAUCCAUCCAAUAUCCCUAUGUUGUUAUAUCCUCUUUUUUUGUUUUUUGUUUUUAGCCUUUUAUCUUACAUUUUGUAUUUGGAAAAAGAAUGAGAGCAUAGCUUUAGCCUUUUCAAUUACUUGGAGAAAAAUGAAGAGGCUAGUGUUAAUGCUCUAGUUUCUUUCUUUUGCAGUAAUGAAUUUUCCUUCCUUUCUUUUCUGUGUAUCUAUCUGUGCAAAACUGAAAACCACAGUGUGUGAGAAUUAAUUGGCAAGAUCUACUCUUCUUUUUCUUGUGGGUUAUUUUAUCAUGGCCACACGAUAUUAAC
rnacentral:lncRNA from 1 species